UACAGAGGGUGCGAGCGUUGUUCGGAAUACUGGGCGUAAAGCGCGCGCAGGCGGCCUUUUAAGUCUGCUGGUGAAAUGCCGGGGCUCAACCCCGUGCCCGCCACAGAUACUGGGAGGCUGGAGACGAGUAGAGGCAAGCGGAAUUCCGGGUGUAGCGGUGGAAUGCGUAGAGAUCCGGAAGAACACCGGAGGCGAAGGCGGCUUGCUGGGCUCGGUCUGACGCUGAGGCGCGAAAGCGUGGGGAGCGAACAGG
rnacentral:rRNA from 1 species